CUCUGAAGGUUAGUACUACACAAUACCAGUACUCAGUAAGGAAGGCUCAAAAAUCUAAUACAAUAUUCAACCACAAAUGAGCUUGUAAUAAUCCCACUACAUGAUCUGUGGCAAAGGCCAUUUUUCCAUGUACUUCAUGGCCAGAAAGAAAUAUUUUUGAGUCUACAAUUAUUAAACCAAAUAAACUUUUGUUAUUUAAUAGUAGCUGUGGGUUAUUCAAGCCCAGUUCAUUUGUAAUUAACGCUAUCAUGCACACUCUAAAUCCUGAUUCUUAUGUGAAUGUUCUGGAUUGUUAUAGGUGUCAGGGUUCCAAAAAUGGCAAUUAGGGCUGGGGUUGCUCUUCUUGGAGCAGCUAGGUAAGUUUGCCCCUGACUCGUUUUCCUUAACAGUGCCCUGUGGCCUGGUGGCUACAGCUCUCAGUUCACAUAGCGAGGCUCUAGGUUCGAUUCCUAAUGAGGGUAAACACACUGGACUUGUUUCUUUACACCGGUCUCUUGUUCUAUCUAGGCUGGAAUAUUGCUGCACACUAACAGCAUCUUUCAAGGCAGGUGAAAAUGCUGACCUAGAAAAUGUACAGAGAAACUUCACGGCGCGCAUAACGGAGAUAAAACACCUCAUUUACUGGGAACUCUUGAAGUUCCUCAACCUGUACUCCCUACAAUGCAGGCGGGAGAGAUACAUGAUUAUAUACACUUGGAAAAUCUUAGAAGGAUUAGUACCAUACUUGCACACGAAAAUCACUCCCUACGAAAGCAAAAGACUAGGCAGGCGAUGUAACAUCCCCCCAGUGAAAAGCAGGGGUUCCACUAGCGCGAAAAGAGAUAACACAAUAAGUGUCAGCGGCCCAAGACUGUUUAACUGCCUCCCAGCAUACAUAAGGGGGAUUACCAAGCGACCCCUGGCUGUCUUCAAGCAGGUACUGGACAGGGACCUAAAGUCAGUACCUGAUCAGCCGAGCUGUGGUUCGUACAUUGGAUUGCGACCGGCCAAAAGUAACAGCCUGGUUGAUUAGACCCUGAUCCACCGUGAGGCCUGAUCACAGACAGGGCCGCGGGGGCGUUGACCACGGAACUCUCUCAAGGUAUACUCUAGGUAUCAGUAAAAUGGCUACCUGGGAGUUAGUGGACUGGUGUGGGUUGUAUCCUGAGACAAAACUGACAUAAUUUUCCCGAAAUGCUCUGCAUAACAAGUGGCUUUCUAUAUAGUAAUAUGUCAUUGACAUCAGCUAGGACUGUAUACCUUGUACAUGUACUUGUAGUAAAUAAAGAUAUUAUUAUUAUUAUUAUUAGUAGUAGUAGUAGUAGAAGUAGUAGUAAUAUUAGUAUUUUAGUAACACAUCGGCCGAUUCCCACCAAGGCAGGGUGGCCCGAAAAAGAAAAACUUUCAUUAUUCACUUCAUCACUGUCUUGCCAGAAGGGUGCUUUACACUACAGUUACAAAACUGCAACAUUAACACCCCUCCUUCAGAGUGCAGGCACUGUACUUCCCAUCUCCAGGACUCAAGUCCGGCCUGCCGGUUUCCCUGAACCCCUUCAUAAAUGUUACUUUGCUCACACUCCAACAGCACGCCACAUAUUAAAAACCAUUUGCCUCCAUUCACUCCUAUCAAAUACGCUCAUGCAUGCUUGCUGGAAGUCCAAGCCCCUUGCAUACAAAACAUCCUUUAGCCCCUCCCUCCAACCUUUCCUAGGCCGACCCCUACCCCACCUUCCCCCCACUACAGAUUUAUACACUCUCGAAGACAUUCUGUUUCGUUCCAUUCUCUCCACAUGCCCGAACCACCUCAGCAACCCCUCCUCAGCCCUCUGGAUAAUAGUUUGGGUAAUCCCCCACCUCCUCCUAAUUUCCAAACUACGAAUUCUCUGCAUUAUAUUCACACCACACAUUGCCCUCAAACAUGACAUCUCCACUGCCUCCAGCCUUCUCCUCAUUGCAACAUUCACCACCCAUGCUCCCAUUCAUAUUAGAGUGUUGGUAUAACUAUGCCCUCAUACAUUCCUCUCUUUGCUUCCACAGACAAAGUUCUUUGUCUCCAUAGACUCCUAAGUGCACCAUUCACCCUUUUCCCCUCAUCAAUUCUAUGAUUCACCUCAUCCUUCAUAGACUUAUCUGCUGACACAUCCACUCCUAAAUAUCUGAAUACACUCACUUCCUCCAUACUCUCACCCUCCAAUCUGAUAUCCAACCUUUUAUCACCUAAUCUUUUUGUUACCCUCAUCACCUUAUUCUUUCCUAUAGUCACUUUUAAUUUUCUUAUUUUUACAUACCCUUCCAAAUUCAUCCACCAACCUCUGCAACUUCUCUUCAGAAUCUCCCAAGAGCACAGUGUCAUCAGCAAAGAGCAACUGUGACAACUCCCACUUUGUGUUAUAAUGUUUGUCUUUUAACCCCGCACCUCUUGCCAACACCCGAGCAUUCACUUCUCUUACAACCCCAUCUAUAAAUAUAUUGAACAACUAUGGUGACAUCAAAUAUCCUUGUCUAAGGCCUACUUUUACUAGGAAAUAAUCUCCCUCUCUCCUACAUACUGUAACCUGAGCCUAACUAUCCUUGUAAAAACUCUUCACUGCUUUCAGUAACCUACCUCCUACACCAUACACCUGCAACAUCUGCCACAUUGCCCCCCUAUCCACCCUGUCAUAAGCCUUUUCCAAAUCCAUAAAUGCCACAAAAACCUCUUUAGCCUUAUCUAAAUACUGUUCACUUAUAUGUUUCACUGUAAACACCUGGUCCACACACCCCCUACCUUUCCUAAAGCCUCCUUGU